GUCUGGGGCCAUGCCACCCGGAACAAUCCCGAUGUCUGAUCUCGGAAGCUACACAGGGUCGGGCCUGGUUAGUAUUUGGAUGGGAGCCCACCUAGGAAGACCAGGUGCUGUAGGUG
rnacentral:rRNA from 1 species